rnacentral:rRNA from 1 species
GACGAACGCUGGCGGCGUGCCUAAUACAUGCAAGUGGAACGCAUUGAUAUCACCGGAGCUUGCUCCACCGAUAUAUAUGAGUCGCGAACGGGUGAGUAACGCGUAGGUAACCUGCCUGAUAGCGGGGGAUAACUAUUGGAAACGAUAGCUAAUACCGCAUGAGAGUGUUUAACACAUGUUAGAGACUUAAAAGAUACAAUUGUAUCACUAUCAGAUGGACCUGCGUUGUAUUAGCUAGUUGGUAGGGUAGCGGCCUACCAAGGCAACGAUACAUAGCCGACCUGAGAGGGUGAUCGGCCACACUGGGACUGAGACACGGCCCAGACUCCUACGGGAGGCAGCAGUAGGGAAUCUUCGGCAAUGGACGAAAGUCUGACCGAGCAACGCCGCGUGAGUGAAGAAGGUUUUCGGAUCGUAAAGCUCUGUUGUAGCGGAAGAACGCGUGUAAGAGUGGAAAGUUUACACAGUGACGUACGUACCAGAAAGGACGCA